GCCUGCUGGCGUGCGCGCGGUUACGUCAUCUCUCAGGAACGCUGGCAGAGCAGCGUUAAGAGCAUGGUGUCUGAAUUCAGACUGCCUGGGUUCCCAUACCAGCACUAACACUUUCUGGCUGUGUGACUGCAAUUUAAGCACUUCCCCUCAGGAAUGGAGAAAAAUGGGGGCGGGGCCGACAGGAAAUUUAAACCGAAGCCGCGACCGAGGGCGCCUAGAGACUGAUAAUGUACUCGUGGAGUUGCCGUCGGCCCUCGGACGUCUGAAAUCGCUCAUGGAGCCCGCGAAUAUAACGCGGAGGCCUUGAGGAAGGAGUACGGAGGCCGAGAAGGAGCCAAGAAUUUGAGGGAGCCAGGAAAGGGCGACGGCAAAUUCUCUGAGCUGCAGAGUUCUAUGGCUGAGAGUAGGCUCCGGGCUCCGGACCUAGG